rnacentral:rRNA from 1 species
AGCGAACGCUGGCGGCAGGCCUAACACAUGCAAGUCGAACGAACCUUUCGGGGUUAGUGGCGGACGGGUGAGUAACACGUGGGAACGUGCCUUUAGGUUCGGAAUAACUCAGGGAAACUUGUGCUAAUACCGAAUGUGCCCUUCUGGGGAAAGAUUUAUCGCCUUUAGAGCGGCCCGCGUCUGAUUAGCUAGUUGGUUGAGGUAAUGGCUCACCAAGGCGACGAUCAGUAGCUGGUCUGAGAGGAUGAUCAGCCACAUUGGGACUGAGACACGGCCCAAACUCCUACGGGAGGCAGCAGUGGGGAAUCUUGCGCAAUGGGCGAAAGCCUGACGCAGCCAUGCCGCGUGAAUGAUGAAGGUCUUAGGAUUGUAAAAUUCUUUCAACGGGGACGAUAAUGACGGUACCCGGAGAAGAAGCCCCGGCUAACUUCGUG